UACGAAGGGUGCAAGCGUUACUCGGAAUUACUGGGCGUAAAGCGUGCGUAGGUGGUGAGUUAAGUCUGUCGUGAAAGCCCCGGGCUCAACCUGGGAAUGGCGAUGGAUACUGGCUCGCUAGAGUGCGGUAGAGGAGAGUGGAAUUCCCGGUGUAGCAGUGAAAUGCGUAGAGAUCGGGAGGAACAUCAGUUGCGCAGGCGGCUCUCUGGACCAGCACUGACACUGAGGCACGAAAGCGUGGGGAGCAAACCGG
rnacentral:rRNA from 1 species